rnacentral:rRNA from 1 species
AACGAACGCUGGCGGCAGGCUUAACACAUGCAAGUCGAGCGCCCCGCAAGGGGAGCGGCAGACGGGUGAGUAACGCGUGGGAAUCUACCCAUCUCUACGGAACAACUCCGGGAAACUGGAGCUAAUACCGUAUACGUCCUUCGGGAGAAAGAUUUAUCGGAGAUGGAUGAGCCCGCGUUGGAUUAGCUAGUUGGUGGGGUAAUGGCCUACCAAGGCGACGAUCCAUAGCUGGUCUGAGAGGAUGAUCAGCCACACUGGGACUGAGACACGGCCCAGACUCCUACGGGAGGCGGCAGUGGGGAAUAUUGGACAAUGGGCGAAAGCCUGAUCCAGCCAUGCCGCGUGAGUGAUGACGGCCCUAGGGUUGUAAAGCUCUUUCGCAGGUGAAGAUAAUGACGGUAACCUGAGAAGAAGCCCCGGCUAACUUCGUGCCAGCCGCCGCAGUAAAAC